UUUCCUGUGUAAGUGUGAAGGAAAUACAAUUUGUGAGAAAUCAGUCUUCAGUAUGCUCAUUGUGUGUGUCUUUGAUACACAGAACUUUGUUCACCACAUUAGUACUAUAUAAAACAAUAAAACAGUGAACAUACUUGCUGCCGAUCCGUCAGUGAUUUUUGUUUGCUUAGAUUCUUUACAGGAGGAACAGCCACCUGCUCCUGCAUGUCGAGCAUAAGUUCCCAUAUUAAUAAGAUAUCUGACUCAGAUUAUGCAAUAUCUUAUAAUAUGUUUGCCAGGUAAAACUUAUAGCACAUACAUUGGCUAUUUUAACUUCUUCAAGCUGGUGUCUGUUAUCAAUUUCCUUGUGAACGAGGUUCUGACAGAAAAUUCAGUGCAAUUCUUUUAGUUAUCAAAUGGAGUGACUAUGGCCUGAACAGCAAGCACAGAAUUACUGCGGAGCAACUGGAUCUCUGACUCCAAAAUGGCAAUCUUGCUUUCCAGUCUAAACAGACAAUUUCUUUUACUUGUGAGCCUUUAUCAUAGGAUAUGAACACAGUCCAGAAAGAAAAGAAAAAAUGCGAAUGCGAGUGUCUCCUGUGACAAUUCAUCAGAUCGUUUUUGCAACUCAAGAAGCUUCUCUUCAAGAUCUUCAGCCUUCUGUUUAAAUGUACUUACUUCAUCCUGGAUCCAAACGUGGAUUAUCCACAACUGGCACUUCUACUAUCUUUGGUGGUGCCUGUUCAAUUGCUAACUUCGCGGCUUCUUUCUCCUUCAAUAUUGCUGCAUGGGCUUCCUCAAUCUUUUCUUGCAUUUCUUGCAAUGCAGAUUGCAACUUUCCAAUUUCUUGGCCCUUGGCUUCUUCAAGGUCAGUCUACCAGCAAGACAAAGUUAAUAAACUCAUUUGGGACCAAGUAACAUACUAAAGCACUACAGAAACUGCCAUAUUGAUCCAGGUGAAUUACCCUCAAACGCUUCUCAACAUCUAACCGCCAUCGCGAACCUGGAUAAUUAUGGAAGCCUUGGUCUCUCUUCGGAACCUGUGUUCAUUGCGAGCUGCCAUUGCUCGUAAUCCUGUCUGUAUUACUAUAGCUGAUUCAUAUACUUGAAGUUUCAGGUACGACCAGUUUUACUGACCUUAAAGACACAAAGUGCUCCGAGCAGUGAAGAAAUACCUCUCCAGAACUUCUGAGAUUUAAUUGAGGCUUUUCGUAAGUUGACGAAUUCCUUUCGCAUAAGAUGUGUCUUUAUACGCCUCUGGAUUAGUCGCGCAGCAUUUGCCAAUACUUCUGCUCUUCGAGCAUCCAGCUCUGCCAUCUGACCAGCUCUUAAGAAUACCUUUGUUUUCCCUAUCUGAUAUAAACAAAGGUCACAUGUGAGAUUAGGUCUUGCGAAAAAAGUUUAUGCUGUAUAAGAUUGUUUUAUCUCCUGUAUUCACCCAUUGACAUAGGCUA